rnacentral:lncRNA from 1 species
AAGCUUCUCUACUUUUUUCUUCUUUCUGGUAGUAGCUCCAAGUUCGGUUCACAAUCACCGCAAGGUAAUUCCCUUCUUCUUUCUUUGUGAUUUUCAUCAAUCUCUUUUUUUUUCUUUUCUUUUCUUCCUCUCUUUAUAUAGGGUUGAAACAAAUAGCAAUAUACAAUAAUUGCUUAAAGACGGUGGCCGUCGGCUUAAGGUGUGUGAGGCUUCGUCACCUCAAGACCCGAUCAGGUGUGUGAGGCUUCGUCACCUCAAGACCCGACCAAUUUUGAUGAAAGACGGCGGACGUCGGCUUAAGGUG